GAGCCAAGAGUCCCCUCUCAAAGGAGGUUGACUCCUUAUUUAUAGAAAGAAGAGGUCUAGGGUUUCCUAGUGACCCCCUUUCAAAUGGGCUGAGCCCAUUAUCUUAUAGGCCUUGUUGGAGACAAAGUCCAUGUCCAACAGUAAGCCCCCCAGUUCGUUGAGAGAGAUGGAGUUGAUCUCAAUGAAUUUUACGAAGAGGGUUUAUAAGAAAAUGGACUCAGCGCUGAGUCGACACGUCAACUCCGCG
rnacentral:lncRNA from 1 species